CGAGAGGCCGAAGGUGCUCGCCUGCUAAGCGAGUGUGGGGGGAAACUUCCACCGAGGGUUCGAAUCCCUCUCUCUCCG
rnacentral:tRNA from 1 species